rnacentral:rRNA from 1 species
UACGUAGGGCGCAAGCGUUGUCCGGAAUUAUUGGGCGUAAAGAGCUCGUAGGCGGUUUGUCGCGUCUGCUGUGAAAACCUGAGGCUCAACCUCGGGCUUGCAGUGGGUACGGGCAGACUAGAGUGCGGUAGGGGUGACUGGAAUUCCUAGUGUAGCGGUGGAAUGCGCAGAUAUCAGGAGGAACACCGAUGGCGAAGGCAGGUCACUGGGC